rnacentral:lncRNA from 1 species
CCGAUUGGCUGGGGAAGGGUCGUGGCCUCGGCCGAUUGGCUGGGGAAGGGUCGGAGUCCUGUUACGCAGGUCGCUGGGGGUGUUUUGAUCGGGAAGUUUGAAGGGGUGAGCGGGAGGUUACUCAAGGGGAGGAGGUGUGGUCUGAGGUUUCUGCGAUUUUCCCGGAAAGGGGUCAUAUCGGGGACAUAGUCACUCAAGGUUGAGGACACAGAACAAGAUGGAGUCGGCCGGCGUAGGUCUGCCCUUUCACUACCAAAGAAUCAAUUUUCUAGAGAUAAGCUUGUCAAAUUCCCAGGGAAAUUGUGUGAGUGAUCAGGCAACCAUCUCUUUGAAAUCACAGACAAACAGAUUUCAAACUCAGAUGUUUGAACUAUAUUAUUAAAGGAAGUGACAAGGACAUGGUUAAAGAGGAUGGAUUAAUACUGCAUAGAACCAAGAUGAGGUAUGUGGGGUAAUUACAGAACUAAUGAGCUAGUUAAUCAUUCUGAGAACAAACCAUUGCUUCCAUUUGCUUCACCUGGUGGGAGGUUUGAAUAGAUGACUUCUAAAGUUCUCACAGGAUGCAGGAUUCUAUGACUGUGCAAUUUAAUAUAAUUCAUGAUUUGGGUCCCUGAUUAAUUAGAAAGUUUGAGAAGAAUAUUAAGUCUUUUAGGCCAUUACAGUAAUGUUCUCAGCCAUCUUAGUAAGAGGAAAGAGUUAAUAUCCAAAUUUUCCAAUUUAUUAUUGUGGAUCAAUAAAGGGGUGAGCAUGGUAAAAUGUUGAAAAUCA